AUGCAAUCUGCUCACUAAAAAGAUUACACCAAUACAUCCCAUACAUGUAUUUCUACCUAUCACCUAUGUAACCUUUGUCAUGCUCUUCAGAGAGUCAUCGACAGGAAAAGGAAUUACCGGUAAGUUGACAGGACUUUCCACACUGUUUCUGGUAGCAGCUUACAUGUGUAUGAUUGAAUUGAUGGUAGAAGACAUGGCCCACUUAAUCAAAGAUAAUCUGUAUAGAUCGGCACCUUAACCAUCACUGGUGAAAUAGAAGACGACUAGUGGAUAGUCAUCACUUUGCAGCUCAAUUUCACUUUCUGCAGCCCAUCUCU